AGUCAUAAUGUGUACCAUUACUUUUUAAAAUCUAUCAUUCUCUCUAACAAUAUUAAACUGUUUCUCGGAUCCCACAAUAGAUUAAAAUUAGAGUAAGUCAACAUGUGUACUAUAAUUUACAUGGACGUUUUAUCUUUUAAUUUGUCUUUCUCUCUGAUAUCAAUCAACAAUAAUUGAACUAUUAUCUUGGUUAAACAA